rnacentral:rRNA from 1 species
GACGAACGCUGGCGGCGCGCUUAACACAUGCAAGUCGAGGGGUGUUUACACCACUGGCGCACGGGUGAGUAACGCGUAGGCAAUCUGCCCCUAUCACAGACAUAACGUCGGGAAACUGGCGCUAAUAUCUGAUGAGGACUCCGGUUCAAAGUAGUGAUAUGGAUAGGGAUGAGCCUGCGUUAGAUUAGCUAGUUGGUGAGGUAACUGCUCACCAAGGCGACGAUCUAUAGCUGGUCUGAGAGGACGAUCAGCCACACUGGAACUGAGACACGGUCCAGACUCCUACGGGAGGCAGCAGUCGAGAAUAGUCUACAAUGGUCGGAAGACUGAUAGUGCGACGCCGCGUGAACGAUGAAUCCCGUUCGGGGUGUAAAGUUCUUUUAUAUGUGAGCAGUGCUUUCUUAUAUUAACAGUAUGGGGAAGAGAUAUUAGCAUAUGAAUAAGCAACGGCUAACUCCGUCCAGCACG